CGAAGGGGGCUAGCGUUGUUCGGAAUGACUGGGCGUAAAGGGCGCGUAGGCGGUUGUGUGCGUCAGAUGUGAAAUCCCCGGGCUUAACCUGGGAACUGCAUUUGAUACGGCACAGCUAGAGACCGAUAGAGGAUAGUGGAAUUGCGAGUGUAGAGGUGAAAUUCGUAGAUAUUCGGCAGGAACACCAGUGGCGAAGGCGGCUAUCUGGGUCGGUACUGACGCUGAGGCGCGAAAGCGUGGGGAGCAAACAGGAUUAGAUACCCUGGUAGUCCACGCUGUAAACGAUGAGUGCUAGAUGUCGGGCGUAACCCGCUCGGUGUCGCAGCUAACGCAAUAAGCACUCCGCCUGGGGAGUACGGUCGCAAGAUUA
rnacentral:rRNA from 1 species